UCUCGGGGCUUGUGAUCGCAGACGUCGUCGCCACCGUCUUCCUGGCGAUCGCUGUGUAUUGCAUCACUGGCCACGACAAGGGACGCAUGUCGCGAGCUUCUGACAGGCAGAACCUGAUUGCCAACGAGCAGCUCUAUCAGCCCCUCGGCGACCGGGACAAUGGACAGUACAGCCGGCUGGGACCCGUCAAGGCCCGUAAGUGAAAUGAGAAGAUGCGCGGGGCUGAUGACCCCGUCACACCAGGAGUAACGUUACAGUGAAGCUGUCGCCAGUGCCCAAGAGCGAAAGAAGCCAGGGUAGGACCCCAGCACUCCUUAGUAAACUCACUGCUGGCAGAAGACAGUCAGUUUUUGCCCAGAGAGCCCUCCAGCUCCCUGGAGGCCUCCUAGGCUGGGCUGCUUGUAGCUCUCUGCUCUUUUUUCCUGCUGCAUUUUUGUAUUUCUCCAUAAUUAAA